rnacentral:lncRNA from 1 species
CCCAAGCUAUGGCUAUAUUGUUAAUUUUUUUCCUAUUAUGGUUAUACAACAAAUUCUCCCUUUCUAAAUUUUAUUGAACAUGAAAUAAUAUUAAAUUGACAUACCGUCAUCGGUCUCCUAACUCAUUACAACCCAUCUGGCAAAUACAAAAAAUAAAUAAUUGUAACAGUUUAUAUAUUUUAAAAUUUGUAUUUGAAAAAAAGUAGAUUAAAAUUACGUACCGUGACUACGGAAUAUUCUGAAAAAUUUGUUUGUAG